GAUGAACGCUGGUGGCACGCUUAACACAUGCAAGUCGAACGAGUGUGAUAAGUUGCUUGCAACGAAUCACACUAGUGGCGAACGGGUGAGUAACAGGUGAGUAACCUACCUAUUACAACGGAAUAACAACGAGAAAUUGUUGCUAAUGCCGUAUAAUAUUGCUUUAUUGUAGGGUAAGGCGAGGAAAGCUGAGGCGGUAAUAGAGGGGCUCGCUUCGGAUUAGCUAGUUGGUGAGGUAAGAGCUUACCAAGGCGACGAUCCGUAAUCGGUCUGAGAGGACGACCGGUCACAUUGGGACUGAGACACGGCCCAAACUCCUACGGGAGGCAGCAGUGGGGAAUAUUGCACAAUGAGCGAAAGCUUGAUGCAGCGAUGCCGCGUGAGUGAGGAAGGUUUUAGGAUUGUAAAGCUCUAUCGAUGGGGAAGAAGAAUGACGGUACCCAAGUAAGAAGCCCCGGCUAACUACGUGCCAGCAGCCGCGGUAAAACGUAGGGGGCGAGCGUUAUCCGGAAUGACUGGGUGUAAAGGGUGUGUAGGCGGUCAAUCAGGUCAUAUGUGAAAGGCUAGUGCUUAACAUUAGUAUGGCAUAAGAAACCGGUUGACUUGAGUACAGGAGAGGUAAGCGGAAUUCCUAGUGUAGCGGUGAAAUGCGUAGAUAUUAGGAAGAACACCAGUGGCGAAGGCGGCUUACUGGACUGUAACUGACGCUGAGGCACGAAAGCGUGGGGAGCGAACAGGAUUAGAUACCCUGGUAGUCCACGCUGUAAACGAUGAGUGCUAGGUGUUGGCGAGGAAUCGUCAGUGCCGCAGUAAACACAAUAAGCACUCCACCUGAGUAGUACGAUCGCAAGGUUGAAACUCAAAGGAAUUGACGG
rnacentral:rRNA from 1 species